GGGGGCGAAACGGCUUCGACGGGGAUGUGCAAGCUUUACGUGGCAUGCCGAGCUUCUGUCUGCUCGUAAAACCGAUGGAACUAAAUAUAAUCGCAGACGAUUAUAACUACGCACUGGCAGCUUAGUCUGCU
rnacentral:tmRNA from 1 species